UACGUAGGGGGCAAGCGUUGUCCGGAAUCAUUGGGCGUAAAGAGCGUGUAGGCGGCUCGAUAAGUCUGCUGUGAAAGUCCAGGGCUCAACCCUGGAAGGCCGGUGGAAACUGUCGGGCUAGAGUCCGGAAGAGGCGAGUGGAAUUCCCGGUGUAGCGGUGAAAUGCGCAGAUAUCGAGAGGAACACCGGUGGCGAAGGCGGCCAACUGGACAGAUACUGACGCUGAGACUCGAAAGCGUGGGGAGCAAACAGG
rnacentral:rRNA from 1 species